rnacentral:rRNA from 1 species
AGAGUUUGAUCAUGGCUCAGGACGAACGCUGGCGGCGCGCCUAACACAUGCAAGUCGAACGAGCGAGAGAGAGCUUGCUUUCUCGAGCGAGUGGCGAACGGGUGAGUAACGCGUGAGGAACCUGCCUCAAAGAGGGGGACAACAGUUGGAAACGACUGCUAAUACCGCAUAAGCCCACGGCUCGGCAUCGAGCAGAGGGAAAAGAGCAAUCCGCUUUGAGAUGGCCUCGCGUCCGAUUAGCUAGUUGGUGAGGUAACGGCCCACAAGGCAACGNUCGGUAGCCGGACUGAGAGGUUGAACGGCCACAUUGGGACUGAGACACGGCCCAGACUCCGUACGGGAGCA